UAGGGAAUCUUCCGCAAUGGGCGAAAGCCUGACGGAGCAACGCCGCGUGAGUGAUGAAGGUCUUCGGAUCGUAAAACUCUGUUAUUAGGGAAGAACAUAUGUGUAAGUAACUGUGCACAUCUUGACGGUACCUAAUCAGAAAGCCACGGCUAACUACGUGCCAGCAGCCGCGGUAAUACGUAGGUGGCAAGCGUUAUCCGAAAUUAUUGGGCGUAAAGCGCGCGUAGGCGGUUUUUUAAGUCUGAUGUGAAAGCCCACGGCUCAACCGUGGAGGGUCAUUGGAAACUGGAAAACUUGAGUGCAGAAGAGGAAAGUGGAAUUCCAUGUGUAGCGGUGAAAUGCGCAGAGAUAUGGAGGAACACCAGUGGCGAAGGCGACUUUCUGGUCUGUAACCGACGCUGAUGUGCGAAAGCGUGGGGAUCAAACAGGAUUAGAUACCCUGGUAGUCCACGCCGUAAACGAUGAGUGCUAAGUGUUAGGGGGUUUCCGCCCCUUAGUGCUGCAGCUAACGCAUUAAGCACUCCGCCUGGGGAGUACGACCGCAAGGUUG
rnacentral:rRNA from 1 species